CACAUAGGAAUGUUGUCAAAAAUAAUUCCCCAACCCUCAAACCCACCCAAACCAAGGGAAGAUUAGCCCUGAGCUAACGACUGCCAAUCCUCCUCUUUUUGCUGAGGAAGACUGGCCCUGAGCUACCAUCCAUGCCCAUCUUCCUCUACUUUAUAUGUGGGAUGCCUACCGCAGCAUGGCAUGCCAAGCGGUGCCAUGUCUGCACCCAGGAUCCGAACCGGCGAACCCAGGGCCGCCGAGAAGUGGAACGUGCAAACUUAACCACUGCGCCACCGGGUCGGCCCCAUGUCUGAAGGUUUUUUAAGAGCAAAAGGGACUAUUAUGACUACCACUCCUGCUAUCUCUCACCACUUUGGCCUGGGCCUUUACUGUUUAAACAAAUAUCACAUCAUUUAAUACACAAAAUCUAUAUUGCCACAGAGAACAAAGUUGAGACAAAUAAGUGGAAGUAAGAACUUUAUUAUUAAGAAAGAAUUCUUUAUUAUUACGAAGAAUUGCCUAAUGAUCAGAGUAGUGCAAACAAGGAAACAUGUUGCUCUGUGAGACAGAACUUUUUUUCCUGGGAAGGGCUGAGCAGAGAACUGACAGUGCCAAGCAGGGAAGCAGUCAAGGCCCACUUGACUCUAGGAUUCAGACUCAAGUUUGGGGAGUGAGAU
rnacentral:lncRNA from 1 species